rnacentral:misc_RNA from 1 species
AAGUCGUAACAAGGUUUCCGUAGGUGAACCUGCGGAAGGAUCAUUAACACGUAUCCAACGUUAAACAACCCUGUGAACUUUAAGUCCCCUCUUGCAGCCCAUGAGGAACAGCAAUCCCGGUAAAUCAUUGCCAAACAGUUUUGAUUCGGGACCUCUGUCCAAAAGGAGUUGCAAUCGAAGGGUGGAAGCAGUGGCAUGGCUUCCCCAAGCAGUUAGUGAAUGACAGUGUCACUGACUGUGUAAGGAUAACGCCUCACGGUUGCUAGAGGUCGAUCACCGACCGGCAGACAUGUCACAGGGUCACCACGCCCCUUAAUCACUCCACUUGAAAAUGCCCCUAGGUAAAAAAAACCGAACAACUGUUAACAAUGGAUAUCUUGGUUCUC